rnacentral:tRNA from 1 species
GCCUAGUUAGCUUAGUUGAUAGUGCGUCUGCCUUGUAAGCGCUAGGCCGUGGGUUCAAUUCCCGCCCGGGGCG